GAUGAACGCUGGCGGAAUGCUUUACACAUGCAAGUCGAACGGUAGAGGGGGCAACCCCUCGAGAGUGGCGAACGGGUGAGUAAUAUAUCGGAACGUGCCCAGUCGUGGGGGAUAACGUAGCGAAAGUUACGCUAAUACGGCAUACGAUCUACGGAUGAAAGCGGGGGAUGGCAAGACCUCGCCCGAUUGGAUGGGCCGAUAUCCGAUUAGGUAGUUGGGGGGGUAAAGGCUCACCAAGCCAACGAUCUGUAGCUGGUCUGAGAGGACGACCAGCCACACCGGAACUGAGACACGGUCCAGACUCCUACGGGAGGCAGCAGUGGGGAAUUUUGGACAAUGGACGCAAGUCUGAUCCAGCCAUUCCGCGUGCAGGAUGAAGGCCCUCGGGUUGUAAACUGCUUUUGUACGGAACGAAAAGGUUUCCAUUAAUACUGGGAGCUCAUGACGGUACCGUAAGAAUAAGCACCGGCUAACUACGUGCCAGCAGCCGCAGUAA
rnacentral:rRNA from 1 species